rnacentral:rRNA from 1 species
CCUACGGGAGGCAGCAGUGAGGAAUAUUGGUCAAUGGGCGAGAGCCUGAACCAGCCAAGCCGCGUGAAGGAUGAAGGAUCUAUGGUUUGUAAACUUCUUUUAUAUGGGAAUAAAGUGAGGCACGUGUUCCUUUUUGUAUGUACCAUAUGAAUAAGCAUCGGCUAACUCCGUGCCAGCAGCCGCGGUAAUACGGAGGAUUCGAGCGUUAUCCGGAUUUAUUGGGUGUAAAGGGUGCGUAGGUGGUUAAUUAAGUCAGCGGUGAAAGUUUGUGGCUCAACCAUAAAAGUGCAGUUGAAACUGGAUGACUUGAGUAUAUUUGAGGUAGGCGGAAUGCGUGGUGUAGCGGUGAAAUGCAUAGAUAUCACGCAGAACACCGAUUGCGAAGGCAGCUUACUAAACUAUAACUGACACUGAAGCGCGAAAGCGUGGGGAGCAAACAGGAUUAGAUACCCGUGUAGUC